GAUGAACGCUGACAGAAUGCUUAACACAUGCAAGUCAACUUGAACUUCGGUUUGGGUGGCGGACGGGUGAGUAACGCGUAAAGAACUUGCCUCACAGAUAGGGACAACAUUUGGAAACGAAUGCUAAUACCUGAUAUUAUGAUUAUAUGGCAUCGUAUAAUUAUGAAAGCUAUAUGCGCUGUGAGAGAGCUUUGCGUCCCAUUAGCUAGUUGGAGAGGUAACGGCUCACCAAGGCGAUGAUGGGUAGCCGGCCUGAGAGGGUGAUUGGCCACAAGGGGACUGAGACACGGCCCUUACUCCUACGGGAGGCAGCAGUGGGGAAUAUUGGACAAUGGACCAAGAGUCUGAUCCAGCAAUUCUGUGUGCACGAUGAAGUUUUUCGGAAUGUAAAGUGCUUUCAGUUGGGAAGAAAAAAAUGACGGUACCAACAGAAGAAGUGACGGCUAAAUACGUG
rnacentral:rRNA from 1 species